AUUGAACGCUGGCGGCAUGCCUUACACAUGCAAGUCGAACGGUAACAGGUCUUCGGAUGCUGACGAGUGGCGAACGGGUGAGUAAUACAUCGGAACGUGCCUAGUAGUGGGGGAUAACUACUCGAAAGAGUGGCUAAUACCGCAUGAGAUCUACGGAUGAAAGCAGGGGAUCGAAAGACCUUGUGCUACUAGAGCGGCCGAUGGCAGAUUAGGUAGUUGGUGGGAUAAAAGCUUACCAAGCCGACGAUCUGUAGCUGGUCUGAGAGGACGAUCAGCACCACUGGGACUGAGACACGGCCCAGACUCAUACGGGAGGCAGCAGUGGGGAAUUUUGGACAAUGGGCGAAAGCCUGAUCCAGCAAUGCCGCGUGCAGGAUGAAGGCCUUCGGGUUGUAAGCUGCUUUUGUACGGAACGAAAAGCCCUGGGUUAAUACCCUGGGGUCAUGACGGUACCGUAAGAAUAAGCACCGGCUAACUACGUGCCAGCAGCCGCCGUAAAAC
rnacentral:rRNA from 1 species